rnacentral:misc_RNA from 1 species
GAUGAAGAACGUAGCGAAAUGCGAUAAGUAAUGUGAAUUGCAGAAUUCAGUGAAUCAUCGAAUCUUUGAACGCACAUUGCGCCCCCUGGUAUUCCGGGGGGCAUGCCUGUCCGAGCGUCAUUGCUGCCCUCAAGCACGGCUUGUGUGUUGGGCCUCCGUCCUCCUGCCGGGGGACGGGCCCGAAAGGCAGCGGCGGCACCGCGUCCGGUCCUCGAGCGUAUGGGGCUUCGUCACCCGCUCUUGUAGGCCCGGCCGGCGCUUGCCGACACAUCAAUCUUUUUUCCAGGUUGACCUCGGAUCAGGUAGGGAUACCCGCUGAACUUAAGCAUAUCAAUAAGCGGAGGA